rnacentral:rRNA from 1 species
UACGGGGGGGGCAAGCGUUGUUCGGAAUUACUGGGCGUAAAGGGCGCGUAGGCGGCCACCGCAAGUCGACUGUGAAAUCUCCGGGCUUAACUCGGAAAGGUCAGCCGAUACUGCGGGGCUAGAGUGCAGAAGGGGCAACUGGAAUUCUCGGUGUAGCGGUGAAAUGCGUAGAUAUCGAGAGGAACACCUGCGGCGAAGGCGGGUUGCUGGGCUGACACUGACGCUGAGUGUGCGAAAGCUAGGGGAGCGAACGGG